ACACAGUGCUCCGGGUGUCUGCAGGCUGCAGGCCGAGCCCAGUGGCGCAGGCACUGAGCUGUACUUAUUUGCUGUGCUAUUUGACCUCUUGGUUUGAGAGAGCUCCCUGGACCAUCUAAUGGCUAUGGGAGAUGAUAAAAGCUUCGAUGAUGAAGAAUCAGUGGAUGGAAAUAGGCCAUCAUCAGCUGCUUCAGCCUUCAAGGUUCCUGCACCUAAAACAUCCGGAAAUCCUGUCAACAGUGCAAGGAAGCCUGGUUCAGCAGGUGGCCCUAAGGUUGGAGGUAAUGUAAAUCCAUUUCAAAUCUGUUAUGCAUGCUCCAUGCCCUUGAUAUGGCCACACAUACUUGGAACUUCAGAGGAAUAUGUUUAUUCAUGACUGCAGCACGAUUGCAGAUCUGGAGUCUGUUGCAACAUUCAGAAGAAUACUAUGCCCUUUUGAAAUGUAUAAAAUAUUGUAUACUGCUAUUUCCUCUAAGAACAUGUGUGAAUUAGUCUUUUCUUGAGGGUAUUUAUUUUUCAGAUGCCAUUUUGAAAAAGAUUUAUGGAAGUUUUUUAGGGUUUUUUUGUUUGUUUUUUUUUAAGCAGAGAACAGGUUUUUCAGAAUUUGGCUACUAAUUUUCAAGUGCAAUAGCUGUUACAGAAAUGUUGAAUUAUGUAAUGU
rnacentral:sRNA from 1 species